rnacentral:rRNA from 1 species
UACGUAGGGUGCGAGCGUUGUCCGGAAUUAUUGGGCGUAAAGAGCUUGUAGGCGGUUUGUCGCGUCUGCUGUGAAAAUCCGGGGCUCAGCCCCGGACUUGCAGUGGGUACGGGCAGACUAGAGUGUGGUAGGGGAGACUGGAAGUUCCUGGUGUAGCGGUGGAAUGCGCAGAUAUCAGGAGGAACACCGAUGGCGAAGGGCAAGGGUCUCCUGGGCCAUUACUGACACUGAGAAGCGAAAGCAUGGGGAGCGAACAGGA